rnacentral:tRNA from 1 species
UGAUAGUCCAGCUCAGUUAGUAGAGCACAAGGCUCUUGACUUUGUUGUUGUGGGUUCGAUUCCUUUGGCCAUCUU